rnacentral:rRNA from 1 species
CGUAACGCGUAUGCAAUCUACCUUUAACUGGUGAAUAGCCCGAAGAAAUUCGGAUUAAUACACCAUAGUAUAAUUGAGUGGCAUCACUUAAUUAUUAAAGUAACAACGGUUAAAGAUGAGCAUGCGUGACAUUAGCUAGUUGGUGAGGUAAUGGCUCACCAAGGCUACGAUGUCUAGGGGAUCUGAGAGGAUUAACCCCCACACUGGUACUGAGACAGGGACCAG